rnacentral:rRNA from 1 species
GAUGAACGCUGGCGGCGUGCCUAAUACAUGCAAGUCGAGCGAACAGAUGAGGAGCUUGCUCCUCUGACGUUAGCGGCGGACGGGUGAGUAACACGUGGAUAACCUACCUAUAAGACUGGGAUAACUUCGGGAAACCGGAGCUAAUACCGGAUAAUAUAUUGAACCGCAUGGUUCAAUAAUGAAAGACGGUUUUGCUGUCACUUAUAGAUGGAUCCGCGCCGCAUUAGCUAGUUGGUAAGGUAACGGCUUACCAAGGCAACGAUGCGUAGCCGACCUGAGAGGGUGAUCGGCCACACUGGAACUGAGACACGGUCCAGACUCCUACGGGAGGCGGCAGUAGGGAAUCUUCCGCAAUGGGCGAAAGCCUGACGGAGCAACGCCGCGUGAGUGAUGAAGGUCUUCGGAUCGUAAAACUCUGUUAUUAGGGAAGAACAAAUGUGUAAGUAACUAUGCACGUCUUGACGGUACCUAAUCAGAAAGCCACGGCUAACUACGUG